UUCUGUUCCUGCUUCUAUAUUAACAUGAACAAAUUGCUUUGAUAAAAUUGUAAUAUCUGAUAUGAUCUUUAUCUGAGAUCUUUAUAUUAAAUGGAUUUUGGAGCAGGGGGUCGGAACAGGAGCAUGCUCCGUCCACUCCACGCAUCGACUUGGUAUUGCAGUACUUCCAGGAGCGGGAAAAAAAAU
rfam:Pelodiscus sinensis unplaced genomic scaffold scaffold843, whole genome shotgun sequence.